AAUUCCCAUAAUCUGAAUUUCGUGGAGGUCAUGAGACAUGAAAAAAGCUGUUUUAAAUAAUGUGGGACUACUACAGUCCUGCUCAGUUCAGAAUUUAAAAGGCCACGGAAAUAUGGACUGUGUGGACCAUAUUCUUUAUGAGAUUUACAGAUCUCUUUAAUCAAUUGUUGUCCAAAAGAACUCCAAUUAGCAGUUGGGGCCACCCCCCCUUGUGCUGCAGGCUGAAAUGUAACAGGAGCCAAUGACAAGGUGGGACCCUGUGUUGGGCCUGCUGUUGCCUGCUCUGUAUCCCUUGAAUCAGAAGCAUUGGGAUAACAGAUACAACUGUUUGGGGACAGGCAGUGGGUGUGUCCCCACCGUGGGAACCCGGGGAGAGGGCGGGGACACAAUGGGCACAGGAGGGAGAGACAGGGGGCUGGCAAGGGGCAGUGAUACCAUUGGAACAGGGGGCGGGGAUGCCUGGUGACAUCACGUCAGCAGACGCCCCCUGGGAGGAGUAGAGAGGCGGAGCUGAGGGUACUGCAGGAAAGGGAGGGGGAGGGGGGAAGGUGUCACGAGGAACAGGAGGAGAGGGGCAUGGGGAUGGAAUUUUAGGAUGCUUAAGAGGAUUUUGGGAAGAAGAAGACCAGGUUUGGGAUGAUGCCAUGUGGCAUCCUCCAUCUUGUGGAUCCCCUGGGGACUGGGGGCCAUUUUGGGCAUCACAGCUCUCUGGAAAGCUGACAUGUGCUCUGGGUUUCAGAGGAGGGGAGCUAGGAGAGGGAGAAACAGGGAGAGCAGAGGUACAUGGCUUUACAUUUGGCUUUUUCUCCAUUUCCUUUUGUUUGAGCAAGGCUGUUCGAAUUUGUAAACUCCAGAACACAAAUUUAGCUGAGGAUGUGUUCCCAGACUGUCCUAAGGUUAUCAAUUAAUUCCCUACUUUAUCCCAAAAUUGAAUAUUGUGGAUUUCUUCAGGGGAGACUUGUGGGAAGUGUAGAAAAAGCCAUCUUAUAAACCGUUUCAAUUUUCCUUUAGAGAACUUUACAUUACCAGUGACUAAAAUACUAACAAUAUGAUAAUACACUCCUUUUUGUACAAUGCUGAGAUUCGAGCCCAUGUUAGAUGUAAAAGGCAAAGUACAAAAUCCCGCCUGACCAAAAACAAAGCCAAAAUCAGCUACUGAUUUCUAAAAAAACCCACAAAUAGGAAAAGCGAUAUCGCGCAGACAAAAGCUUUACAAUGCAGCUGUAUAUACUGCUUUUAAAAUUCCCGGGCAGCAGCAGCAG
rnacentral:lncRNA from 1 species